rnacentral:rRNA from 1 species
CACCGCGGUUAGACGAGAGGCCCAAGUCGACACGAAACGGCGUAAAGAGUGGUUUAGAACCUAUAAAACUAAGGCUGAAUCCCCUCCUGGCCGUUAUACGCAUUCGAAGGGGCGAAACCCCACUACAAAAGUGGCUUUACCUUAUCUGAUUCCACCAUAGCUAAGAAA